rnacentral:rRNA from 1 species
UACGGGGGGGGCAAGCGUUGUUCGGCAUUACUGGGCGUAAAGGGCUCGUAGGCGGCCAACUAAGUCCGACGUGAAAUCCCAAGGCUUAACCUUGGAACUGCGUCGGAUACUGGAUGGCUUGAAUUCGGGAGAGGGAUGCAGAAUUCCAGGUGUAGCGGUGAAAUGCGUAGAUAUCUGGAGGAAUACCGGUGGCGAAGGCGGCAUCCUGGACCGACAUUGACGCUGAGGAGCGAAAGCUAGGGGAGCAAACGGG